GAUGAACGCUGGCGGCGUGCCUAAUACAUGCAAGUCGAGCGAACAGACGAGGAGCUUGCUCCUCUGACGUUAGCGGCGGACGGGUGAGUAACACGUGGAUAACCUACCUAUAAGACUGGGAUAACUUCGGGAAACCGGAGCUAAUACCGGAUAAUAUAUUGAACCGCAUGGUUCAAUAGUGAAAGACGGUUUUGCUGUCACUUAUAGAUGGAUCCGCGCCGCAUUAGCUAGUUGGUAAGGUAACGGCUUACCAAGGCGACGAUGCGUAGCCGACCUGAGAGGGUGAUCGGCCACACUGGAACUGAGACACGGUCCAGACUCCGACGGGAGGAAGCAGUAGGGAAUCUUACGCAAUGGACGAAAGCCUGACGGAGCAACGCCGCGUGAGUGAUGAAGGUCUUAGGAUCGGAAAACUCUGUUAUUAGGGAAGAACAAAUGUGUAAGUAACUAUGCACGUCUUGACGGUACCUAAUCAGAAAGCCACGGCUAACUACGUG
rnacentral:rRNA from 1 species